rnacentral:misc_RNA from 1 species
GAAGUGCGAUAAGCAAUGCGAAUUGCAGAAUUCCGCGAAUCAUCAGAUCUUUGAACGCAAAUGGCGCCAGAGGGAUAUCCUUUUGGCAUGUCUGUUUCAGUGUCUGAGAGGUUUCACACUUACCUUAAUGUGAUUGAUGCCUUACUUCGUUUACUCGAUGAAAGACAUCUCUCAUGAAAGUUGCGCGAGUGGAUCUUUCGGUCCAAUGAAGUGGUCACAUCACUCUCAGUAUGUGAUUUCAUUGGAAGCACCGAAUUAUCCGCAUGCUCGCGGUUCCACGUUGCUGUCUAAACAAUAGCAACUACUCUCUCCAUACCCUGCAUCUGAAAUAGGCAAGAUCACCCGCUGAACUUAA